rnacentral:rRNA from 1 species
GGAGUCCGGCCUGCUCAUUGAGUGAAAACUUGAAGAGCCGCGGUAUUCUGACCGUGCAAAGGUAGCAUAAUCAUUAGUUCUUUAAUUGUGAACUUGUAUGAAUGGUUGAACAAAGGAAAUACUGUCUUUUAAUUAUAAAUUGAACUUUACUUUUGAGUGAAAAGGCUUACAUUAUUUAGAGGGACGAUAAGACCCUAUAAAGCUUUAUAAAUUAGUUAUUGGUUUUGUGAACUUGAAAAUAAAAGAGACUUAUAGGUAUUUAUUAUGUUGGGGCGACACAGAUAUAAACUAGGUAACUAACAGGUAAUGAAACACUUAUAUUUGAAAAUAAUGAUCCUUAAUAAAGAUUAAAAGAAAAAGUUACUUUAGGGAUAACAGCGUUAUUCUUUUUAAGAGUCCUUAUCGAAAAAAGAGUUUGUGACCUCGAUGUUGAAUCAUAAAAUCUUUUUAGUGCAGCAGCUAAAAAAGAGGGUCUGUUCGACCUUUAAAUUUUUACGUGAUUUGAGUUCAAACCGGCGUAAGCCAGGUUGGUUUCUAUCUAUGUUGCCUGUUUAUCAAAAACAUAUGCCAGGUUGGUUUCUAUCUAUGUU